rnacentral:rRNA from 1 species
AUGUAACCUACCCUGUACAGGGGGAUAGCCCGGAGAAAUUCGGAUUAAUACCCCAUAAAGAUAUUGAGGGGCAUCUUUUAAUAUUUAAAGUUUCGACGGUACGGGAUGGGCAUGCGUAACAUUAGCUGGUUGGUAGGGUAACGGCCUACCAAGGCGACGAUGUUUAGGGGUCCUGAGAGGGUGAUCCCCCACACUGGUACUGAGACACGGACCAGACUCCUACGGGAGGCAGCAGUGAGGAAUAUUGGUCAAUGGGCGUAAGCCUGAACCAGCCAUCCCGCGUGAAGGAAGAAGGCGCUAUGCGUUGUAAACUUCUUUUCCAGAGGAAUAAAAUUUUGUACGAGUACGGAACUGAAGGUACUCUGGGAAUAAGCAUCGGCUAACUCCGUGCCAGCAGCCGCGGUAAUACGGAGGAUGCGAGCGUUAUCCGGAUUUAUUGGGUUUAAAGGGUGCGUAGGCGGAUUAAUAAGUCAGUGGUGAAAACCUGCAGCUUAACUGUA